CUUCUUCCAGGAUUUCUGCAGGAACAGAGGAGGUUUUUAUACCCAUUAACCACAAGGAAACUGAAAAGAAAAUGAAGAGCGACAGCAGGAACUUUCUGUGUUCUUUUACACGAGAUUGUAUACUGAGAAGCAGCAUGGGAUGGAUCAAUGGUGAAAUAAACAAACAAACAAAGAAAGUGAAUGUUCGAUUCAGUAACUACUGAUCACUUUAUUUCCGAAUGUGUGUGUGAAGUCAAAAUGUGCAUGGAGAAAGUUCACAGCAGUGUGCAUCACUCAACUUCUGCAAGGAAGCAGAAA